rnacentral:rRNA from 2 species
GACGAACGCUGGCGGCGUGCCUAAUACAUGCAAGUCGUGCGGACCUUUUAAAAGCUUGCUUUUAAAAGGUUAGCGGCGGACGGGUGAGUAACACGUGGGCAACCUGCCUGUAAGACUGGGAUAACGCCGGGAAACCGGGGCUAAUACCMGAUAGUUUUUUCCUCCGCAUGGAGGAAAAAGGAAAGGCGGCUUCGGCUGCCACUUACAGAUGGGCCCGCGGCGCAUUAGCUAGUUGGCGGGGUAACGGCCCACCAAGGCAACGAUGCGUAGCCGACCUGAGAGGGUGAUCGGCCACAUUGGGACUGAGACACGGCCCAAACUCCUACGGGAGGCAGCAGUAGGGAAUCUUCCGCAAUGGACGAAAGUCUGACGGAGCAACGCCGCGUGAGUGAAGAAGGCCUUCGGGUCGUAAAACUCUGUUGCCGGGGAAGAACAAGUGCCGUUCGAACAGGGCGGCGCCUUGACGGUACCCGGCCAGAAAGCC